rnacentral:misc_RNA from 1 species
GCGAAGAGCAGCUCUCCGAGCCUCUCAACCCCCGCGAACCGUAUACCACACGUUGCCUCGGCGGUGCCCCUGCCGCCGGCGGCCUUUUGGAAACUCUUUUUUUCAGAUGGAUUCUCUCUGACUUGGACAUAUUUGGAACGCAUAA